UACAGAGGAGCCAAGCGUUGUCCGGAUUGACUGGGCGUAAAGCGCACGCAGGCGGUUGCGCGCGUGGGGUGUGAAAUCUGGCCGCUUAACGGCCAGGCGCCAUCCCAUACGGCGCGACUGGAGCCAUGCAGAGGUCGAUGGAAUUGCCGGUGUAGUGGUGAAAUGCGUAGAGAUCGGCAGGAACACCCAGGGGGAAACCAGUCGACUGGGCAUGUGCUGACGCUGAGGUGCGAGAGCGUGGGGAGCGAACCGG
rnacentral:rRNA from 1 species